rnacentral:rRNA from 1 species
GUGCCAGCCGCCGCGGUAAUACGUAGGGUGCGAGCGUUAAUCGGAAUUACUGGGCGUAAAGCGUGCGCAGGCGGUGACCCAAGUCAGAUGUGAAAUCCCCGGGCUUAACCUGGGAACUGCAUUUGAAACUAGGUCGCUAGAGUAUGGCAGAGGGGGGUAGAAUUCCACGUGUAGCAGUGAAAUGCGUAGAGAUGUGGAGGAAUACCGAUGGCGAAGGCAGCCCCCUGGGUCAAUACUGACGCUCAUGCACGAAAGCGUGGGGAGCAAACAGGAUUAGAUACCCUGGUAGUCCACGCCCUAAACGAUGUCAACUAGUUGUCGGAGGGGGAGACCUCUUUGGUAACGCAGCUAACGCGUGAAGUUGACCGCCUGGGGAGUACGGUCGCAAGAUUAAA